GGGGAAGGUCAUAGUGAAAGCAGCAAGCUAGAAAGUAGCCGCCCCUCUUUGAUUGUGCACAGCCCCUGCAACGAGACACCUAAGCCUUCCUAUCCAUGCAAUAGGGCUAUUCGACAGCAUCCUAUCGAGCAAGCCUUGUCUUUGUGCGUGCCAUGCUGUGCCACAUUUUUCUUGGUAGAGUUAUGCCACUCUUUUCUUCCUUCUCGCUGCUUGAAGACGCAAGAGCUGCGCCGGCUGAGCUGCUUCUUUUGCUACCCUGUGCCCAAAAAAGCCCUAUAGAGAUGGGCAGUGUGCAAUACACGCCAAUGGAGAUUAAAUGUUUAGGACGACUGAUAAGUGUAUUUUAUACACUUAUUUCAUUCAUUAAAUUAAGGUAAUUUUUGUUAUUUAGGAUGAAUUGAUCUUAACUUCAUAUAUAUUUCGUUUGUUAGGUAUAACUCGAGGCAAAACAAUGAAAUUGGACAGAAGAGCGCGAAAUUUGCUAACUUGGGCUUAAUCAAAAGUUUGGGAACUAAAUUGCAAAGUAUCAAAAGUUGAUUUGGACAUGAUGUUAAUGAUUGAAGAAGAGUGAGAGGCAAUUAAAUGGUAUUAGAAGUGAAUGAUCAAGAAGAUGUCAAAUAUGGACCAAAAGGAACGAAGAAUGAACUUAGGGACCAAAGUGCAACACAUGAAAAAAUUUCAUAACGGCACGCACGCGUAGGCCAAAACUCUCGCCUGCGCAUGGAGUUGAACUUCAUAUGGAGAAUGUAGAAGUUCUAGGAAGCGCACACGCAAGGAAGUAUACCACACGCGCGGGCAUUUUUCGGAGAAAAAUCGAGUAUAUUCCUUUUUUGACACAAACUCUCAUGGAAAGAAAAUUUAUCAUACUACUUAACUUAGGUGGAUGAACAAAACAUCGCUUCUUCUUCUAGAGGGCAAAAAGAGGAUUGCUAGGGAAAAUCUCCAGAGUCAAAGAUCAAUAAAAGCAGUUGCAAGAAGAUUGACGAUGAUUGGGGGAAGAAUUCACGCAACAAAACUAGUUUUUCUUAUCCCCUACUUCUUCUUCUCCAUGUUAUUUAUUGUGUAUUUUAUCAUGUCGAUCAAUUCUAUUAUGAACUAGACUUUAAUCCUAGAGAUUUGAUGUAGCCUACUUAGACAUGUUUUAAUUCCUAUAUUAUUAUUUCAAUUAAUCUUUCCAAUUAUUUAUUUA
rnacentral:lncRNA from 1 species